rnacentral:rRNA from 1 species
CAGCAGCCGCGGUAAAACGAAGGAUGCAAGCGUUAAUCGGAAUUACUGGGCGUAAAGCGUGCGUAGGCGGUUUGUUAAGUCUGUUGUGAAAUCCCCGGGCUCAACCUGGGAAUGGCAAUGGAUACUGGCAAGCUAGAGUGUGUCAGAGGAUGGUGGAAUUCCCGGUGUAGCGGUGAAAUGCGUAGAGAUCGGGAGGAACAUCAGUGGCGAAGGCGGCCAUCUGGGACAACACUGACGCUGAGGCACGAAAGCGUGGGGAGCAAACAGGAUUAGAUACCCCCGUAGUCCCUGUCUCUUAUAC